CUACGGGAGGCACCAGUAAGGAAUAUUGCGCAAUGGAGGCAACUCUGACGCAGCCAUGCCGCGUGCAGGAAGAAGGCCUUAUGGGUCGUAAACUGCUUUUAUUUAGGAAUAAACCCCCGAACGUGUUCGGGGCUGAAGGUACUAAACGAAUAAGCACCGGCUAACUCCGUGCCAGCAGCCGCGGUGAAUACGGAGGGUGCAAGCGUUAUCCGGAUUUAUUGGGUUUAAAGGGUGCGCAGGCGGGCUAUUAAGUCAGUGGUGAAAUCCCGGGGCUCAACUCCGGAACUGCCAUUGAUACUGAUAGUCUUGAGUUUGGUUGAAGUGGGCGGAAUGUAGCAUGUAGCGGUGAAAUGCAUAGAUAUGCUACAGAACACCAAUCGCGGAGGCAGCUCACUAAGCCAAAACUGACGCUCAUGCACGAAAGCGUGGGGAUCAAACAGGAUUAGAUACCCUAGUAGUC
rnacentral:rRNA from 1 species